GAUGAACGCUGGCGGCGUGCUUAACACAUGCAAGUCGAACGAGACGAUUGAAAGCUUGCUUUCGAAAGUCGAGUGGCAAACGGGUGAGUAACGCGUAGACAACCUGCCUUUGAGAUGGGGACAACAGUUCGAAAGGACUGCUAAUACCGAAUGUUGUAUAUUUUCCACAUGGAAGAUAUAUUAAAGAUGGCCUCUAUUUAUAAGCUAUCGCUCAAAGAUGGGUCUGCGUCUGAUUAGCUAGUUGGUGGGGUAACGGCCUACCAAGGCGACGAUCAGUAGCCGGUCUGAGAGGAUGAACGGCCACAUUGGGACUGAGACACGGCCCAGACUCCUACGGGAGGCAGCAGUGGGGAAUCUUCCACAAUGGACGAAAGUCUGAUGGAGCAACGCCGCGUGAGUGAAGAAGGGUUUCGGCUCGUAAAGCUCUGUUGUCGGGGACGAAUGUGCAGUAUUUGAAUAAAGUACUGUAAUGACGGUACCUGACGAGGAAGCCACGGCUAACUACGUGCCAGCAGCCGCAGUAACAC
rnacentral:rRNA from 1 species